rnacentral:rRNA from 1 species
UAGAAGGCAGCAGUGAGGAAUUUUGGACAAUGGGCGCAAGCCUGAUCCAGCCAUGCCGCGUGAGUGAAGAAGGCCUUCGGGUUGUAAAGCUCUUUCGGCGGGAACGAAACGGUUCGUGCUAACACCACGGACUACUGACGGAACCCGAAGAAGAAGCACCGGCUAACUACGUGCCAGCAGCCGCGGUAAUACGUAGGGUGCAGGCGUUAAUCGGAAUUACUGGGCGUAAAGCGUGCGCAGGCGGUUUCUUAAGUCAGAUGUGAAAUCCCCGGGCUUAACCUGGGAACUGCGUUUGAAACUGGGAGACUUGAGUAUGUCAGAGGGGGGUGGAAUUCCACGUGUAGCAGUGAAAUGCGUAGAGAUGUGGAGGAACACCGAUGGCGAAGGCAGCCCCCUGGGAUAAUACUGACGCUCAUGCACGAAAGCGUGGGGAGCAAACAGGAUUAGAUACCCGAGU